AUGAGAGCCCUUUUCUGGAAUGUUCGUGGUUUCGGUGCUAGGGGGCGUCGCGACGAGAUUCACGACUUGGUGUGUGGGGAGCACAUUGACAUUUUAGGUUUGGUCGAAACUUUCAAGGAAUCCUUUUCUCCCUCUGAAUUGGCUGCGAUCGCUGGGAUGGGUACAUAUGACUGGCACUUUCUUCCUGCUUCGGGUCAUUCUGGUGGUAUCUUGAUUGGCUCCAAGCGGGACAUCUUUGACUUCAUUACUUUUGAUCAUGGUAUUUUUUGGGCUAGCUGCGUAGUUCAUCAUCGCCAACUAAAUAUGAUGUGGGAAUUCAUGGUGGUUUACGGGCCUGCGGAUCAUUUGCUUACCCCUCUUUUUUUGGAUGAAAUCUCGAGCAAGAUUGAGGCAUGCAAUAUACCUCUUCUUAUUGGGGGAGACUUUAACCUGAUU
rnacentral:rRNA from 1 species